GAUGAACGCUGGCGGCGUGCCUAAUACAUGCAAGUCGAGCGAACAGACGAGGAGCUUGCGCCUCUGACGUUAGCGGCGGACGGGUGAGUAACACGUGGAUAACCUACCUAUAAGACUGGGAUAACUUCGGGAAACCGGAGCUAAUACCGGAUAAUAUAUUGAACCGCAUGGUUCAAUAGUGAAAGACGGUUUUGCUGUCACUUAUAGAUGGAUCCGCGCCGCAUUAGCUAGUUGGUAAGGUAACGGCUUACCAAGGCAACGAUGCGUAGCCGACCUGAGAGGGUGAUCGGCCACACUGGAACUGAGACACGGUCCAGACUCCUACGGGAGGCAGCAGUAGGGAAUCUUCCGCAAUGGGCGAAAGCCUGACGGAGCAACGCCGCGUGAGUGAUGAAGGUCUUCGGAUCGUAAAACUCUGUUAUUAGGGAAGAACAAAUGUGUAAGUAACUAUGCACGUCUUGACGGUACCUAAUCAGAAAGCCACGGCUAACUACGUG
rnacentral:rRNA from 1 species